rnacentral:rRNA from 1 species
AUAUCAAUAAGCGGAGGAAAAGAAACUAACAAGGAUUCCCUUAGUAACGGCGAGUGAACUGGGAAGAGCUCAAAUUUAAAAUCAUUGGGGUUUCCCUGGUGAGUUGUAAUUUGAAGAAAGUGUUUUGAUAUUCGGGUUUUAUCUAAAUCCUUUGGGAUAAGGUAUCAUAGAGGGUGAGAAUCCCGUUCGUGAUUAAACCUCGGAUGUCACUUAAUUCAUUUUCUAAGAGUCGAGUUGUUUGGGAUUGCAGCUCAAAAUGGGUGGUAAAUUUCACCUAAGGCUAAAUAUAUGCGAGAGACCGAUAGCGCACAAGUA